rnacentral:rRNA from 1 species
GACGAACCGUCCAAACGUUAUUCGGAAUUACUGGGCUUAAAGGGUGUGUAGGCGGCUGGAUAAGUCUGGUGUGAAAUCUUCACCGCUCAACGGGAAGGGGUCACUGGAAACUGUCCAGCUUGAGUAUGGUAGAGGCAAGCGGAAUUCCUGGUGUAGCGGUGGAAUGUGUAGAUAUCAGGAAGAACACCGGUGGCGAAGGCGGCUUGCUGGGCCAUCACUGACGCUGAGACACGAAAGCGUGGGGAGCAAACGGG